UCUGGGACCACUCGAGGUUCAUGCCCGACUGCAGGCGAAGGCCGCCAGCAUCUCCUGCUGCUCCCGGGGCAUUUUGGGGAUAAUUUGCUCUUUUUUGGGGCGAUUAUUCUGGAUUUCUUGGGAGGUUUUUGGAGUGAAUAUUUUGAUUUUCUGGGGUGAUUAUUUUGGUUUUUUGGGGACUUUUUGGGGCAAUUAUUUUCCUUUUUUGGGGAGGUUUUUGGAGUGAAUAUUUUGGUUUUCUGGGGUGAUUAUUUUGGUUUUUUGGGGACUUUUUGGAGCGAUUUUUUUGCUUUUUUGGGGCAAUUUUUUUCUUUUUCUGGAGCGAUUAUUUUGGUUUUCUGGGGAGGUUUUUGGAGUGAAUAUUUUGCUUUUCUGGGGUGAUUAUUUUGGUUUUUUGGGGACUUUUUGGGGCGAAUUUUUUCCUUUUUUGGGGAGGUUUUUGGGGCAAUUUUUUUUCUUUUUUGCAGCAAUAAUUUUGGUUUUCUGGGGGGGUUUUGGGGUGAAUAUUUUGAUUUUCUGGGGUGAUUAUUUUCAUUUUUUGGGGACUUUUUGGGGCAAUUAUUUUCCUUUUUUGGGGAGGUUUUUGGAGUGAAUAUUUUGAUUUUCUGGGACAAUUUUUUUGCUUUUUUGGGGACAUUUUUGGGUCGAUUUUUUUGCUUUUUUGGGGUGAAUUUCAGGGAUUUGU